rnacentral:lncRNA from 10 species
UACUCGGGAGGCUGAGGCAGGAGAAUGACGUGAACCCAGGAGGCCAAGCUUGCAGUGAGCUGAGAUCACACCACUGCACUCCAGCCUGGGGGACAGAGUGAGAAUCCAUCAAAAAAAAGAAACAAGAAUACAAUAGCACAAUUCAUGUGACAACCACAUGUAGGUUUAGUGAUGUUUGUUCUCUGUGAAGCUAAGCUAUCUCAGCUAGGUGGUUGAGGACAUUUGUACUGUCUGGACUAGGCAGAGGUGAAUAUGAUUGAAUGUGUAAGACAGUGCCAAUUAUGUACCAUAUAUAGCUGUGUGUGUUUCCUUCUGUCUAAAAUAUCAACCUAUGCUUGCCUUUAAUCUCAUCCUCAAUUGCAAUGCUCAAAACCCCUCCUAGUGUCAUUAUAUUGUCAAAAAAUACUCUGAAUCACAGGUUUAGAGAGAUAAAAAUUCUAACUUCUCUUAAAGAAACAACGUCUGAAAAUCUUUUCAUUUGUGUUGUUCCACAUGAAAUGACUUUAAGUGUUGAAUGUGCACAUUAUUCCUACAUUCUGAGACUUAGAUUUAUAGCUUAUGAGUUGUCCUUCUAAAGGUAUACUCUUCAUAUGCCAGUGACUCCCCAGCUUAUACAGCAGUUAUGCCUUAUUGGUGAGGGAUGCGUUCAAAGACUCCUUGUGGAUGCCUGAAACCUGUUACCAAACCCCAUAUAUCUCUAGUGCACAUCUAAAUCUGUGUUUAGACGAACAGAACCAGCUUUGUACCCGAUUAUCUUCACCAAGAUGUCUGACUUACGUAAAUCUCAAACUUGUCGUAUUUAACACAAAGUUCUUAAUUUCCUUCCUUUUUCAAGCCCACUUCUGCUGUGUUUUCUGUUUAAGUAAAUAACACUCAUCCAUUUAGUUAUGUCAAAAACCUAGGAAUUAUCCAUGACUUCUCUCUUACUCUUUCUGCACUUUAAAUGCAUCAGCUAGUACUGUCUUCAAGAAUGUAUCCUUUUUACCCAGUCCUCGCCAUCUCCUUUACUAUCCCCCUUGCCCAAGCCACUAUACUUUCAUCCUGCUGUGGAAGCAGUUUUCCAACCCUCCUUACUCUCCUUUUGACCACUUAAUAUACAUUCUUCACUAGCCAGAACAAUCUUUGAAAAAUGUAACCUACCAUAUGUCACUCCCCAUUUGAAAUGUUCCUAUUGGGAUUUUAAGAUGAUAUUAAAUACUCAUUUUCUCAGCUCUCAAGUCUGGAUUCAAUUGAGAGGCAGACAGAUUUGGGCAAAUGAGAUAAAAUAUUUGUUUUGUAUUGAUAAAUGGUUGGAUUGGCAGAUAUUGCCUUGUAUUGAGUAUGGUCGUAAAGACAUCACUAAUAUUUAACUUAUCUACCUAUUUAUUUUCCCUCACUUUGAAGUGUGGUUAGAAUUUGGAGGAAGCAAUUUCAUGAAGGUAGAAAUAAGAUUGCCCUCAUAAAAUAUGUUAUGUCCUCAUAAAAUAAAUAUUUAUAUAUUAUAUAUAAAAUAUAUAAAUUUAUUAUCUGAUCCUUCCCAAGAGAGAUUCCGCACCUCUGGUUGCCCUUAGGCUUAAUCAUUAAGCCAGAACCAUAAAGAGAACAAAAAACAUUACCUGUGCCCAACGUUUUAUGGCCUUUGUCACUCCUCAAGUAGUCUCUCCAAAGGAGGAAUGUCUGACGUGGUAAGUAAGUUUGAGAGGAAACUGGAUUUUGUUGGAUCCACCCCUUCUGAAGUCUCUUGUUGUCUUCCUCCCUCAAGAGAUGUCUGCCCUAUUUUCCACUUGUUUGGAAACUAUCUCCCCUGUCUGGUGUCCUUGCAGCUGUGCAUCUGUCAGUCUGUGCUGGUCUCACAUCGAGGUCACGCUGAUGAAAAAGGAACUACAGUACUGUUAUGUCAGUAACAUACAUCACAGUCGUACGUCUCCAGGCUUCUUAUCUUCCUUUGAACCUGACCUGGCUACUGUUUGGUGGAUUAUAGAGGAAAAGCUGUAAUGGGAAAGUAGGUUGGGUGAAGGGAUGAGAAAAAGGAAAGCAUCGUGGAGCACAUUAGCAGGCUUUCUCCAUGAAGAAGCAGGAUGAGUACCUUCUCACUGCCAAAGUAGUUGGAGGGACAUCAAACACCAGUGAUGGGAACACUGAACCUCACAUAAGAAGCACAUGAAGAACAGCAGUGAAACCAAGGAUUCUAGCAAGGCCAGCUAUUAGCAAAGCAGUAAGCAGGAACUGGACUAGAUACCAAAUGAUGGGGAAACAGACUCAUAGACCUAAGAACAUAGGAAGAAGAGAUGUAACAUCAACAGAAAGGCAAAAGGGGCAAUGCAGCAUCUCUGCCUUCUUCUGGGUAUUCCUCUUAAAUGGCUUGACAAUAACCACCAACCAGCACUGCCAUACAUGUGUCCUGUACCUAUCAGAGGCACUAGGGCAGUUUUGGAACAGAGAGCCCAUAGAAAGGCUACUGCUUAGAGAUAGCCAUUUUCUUCUUGGAGCUGGACCAGUGAAUUAGACGCAUGGAGGAGAGCUGGAAAAUCCCUUUUUGGAAGAGCUACACAAAACCAAAAUUUGGAAUUCGUAGCUAAUAACCAUAAAAAUUAAGAAAUGACUGUUGGAAGAGCACUGGAAAUCACCUGAUUAAGUUAAGAAAAACUAACUAGCUCAUGAGAAAAUUAUUUUCAGGCCAGCUGUAGCCUGUACCCUUUUGAAAAUCCCCUGACUAGUGAGUUCAUUUUUGUUGGAAUAUAGAAUUUUUCUUUUCUAAGCAGAUGUAAACUUGUCUUUCUGUGGUUGGCUUUGGAGCCCACAAGAUAAUUAAAUGGCAGUGCUAACUGAAAGCCUGGGCUGUGCUUAUAGGCAGGCCGUUCCUGAGAUCUUCCCAAAACCAAAGGUAUUGAAGAGACACAUGUAAC